CACGUGUCACUUCGUCAAAUGUUUCCUGACCUUCACCACCAGAUUAGACCCCUGGUUUCUGACAGGCCUUCCAAGCGCCCUGCGUGCCUCCUCGGCCAACAACACCGCAGUAGUGAUUCGACACCAUGGUGGUUUGAAUUCAUCUGUCCUCCCACCCACUUGGCUGGAAGGUCCUGGGGAACAGGCACCAUGCCUGUGCUUCAUCGCCAGCAAAUCCCCAGCUCCUAGGACGUCAUACGACUCAACAAACGCUGUUGCCUGAAUGAACGCACGAAUCGUGAAAGGAAGGGUUCAUCUCUACAAAACAGUCCGCCCAACUGAACACGUUCAGAGAUAAAGGGAACCAAUGGAGAACCCUCACGGCCUCCAGGAGUGACGAGCAGCCACGGGAAGGUACCUGCUGAGCCCCCUUGGGCUCCCUGCUUUGUCGCUGCCUCCGGAGGUGAUGGGUCUGGAAACCACCUGGAGUCGGACUGGAUCCAGGGUCAUACUGGUCCAACUUGGCAACCAGACUGAGACCAGGGUGAAGACUCUGGUGAAUAAAAUUUUGUUUUAAGGCUGAACCAAAAGGUUAACCUAACCAAAGAGAAUUUUGAAUUACAGUGACCACAGUGGAGAACCUUUAACCCAGAGAAGCUUAUCCAUUCAGGAGAUGCCCUAGAGAAAACGGGGUCUCAGCCAAGGACUCACCAUAAAAAGUAGACAGAAGUUUAUUUAUCCCCCUCUACAGUUUCUGUGACCAGGAUGAGACCCGCUGGGACACCUCACAUGCUUCGGAGCCUGCAGAUGGGAUCCUGGGAAAACUGGCACAAGCCAGGAAAGGAAACUUACUUUUCUACUCUGAUGCUUUUGCAAAUAAAUGUUCCUACAAAAGUGCUUCUUCAUCUUCCAGACGACUCAUGGGAAGGACUCUAACAAGUACAAGUUUCUGAUAACUUCCAGACCACACCACUGAGUAAGAAUUGGCAGAGCUCUAAGGGAAAGACUGACAGUUUCAUAAAACUAACAAAAGAUCAAGAUCAACAAGAAUUAGUUACAUUGGACUGAAUGAACCGAUAGAGAUGAUUUUAUAAUUUUUAUGACUUUUGUUUGAAACACUGUGGUGUUGUUUUUCUAGACUUAGGAAAAUCUGUCUUUUCUCUUAAACUAUCAUUAGUUUGGUAAAAUGUACCUUUGUAAACAAAGAUGAAACAUUUAUCUUUUCUUCUUAUCUGAUUCCUCCAGAAUUUGGAAACUCCAUUCUUAUUUUCAUGGAGAUACAGUUAUUUGCUUAAGUUCAAUAGGAAUCUGUUCUCCUUGCAACAGGACACAAUUGGAAACAUUGGUUAUAUGACCAAGACUUUGAUGAAAUGUUGUAUUUGAGAAUAUGCAUAAAAUCAGAUGUGAGAAGAUAGUUUGAAGGAACUAAAGUUGACUUAUGGAGCCAAAAAAGUCCCUGGGAACAAAGAGCCUGGCACCUUGCUUACAGAGUUCUCAGCAACCUUAGCAGGAAGGCAACACUCCUUCACUCUGGCAGCUGUCACUGAAUCUACUGCUGAGUCCACAGCUGUACAACCAAAGUCCCCAAACACUCUUGCUAAGGUGGGGUUUUUUUAAUGUUUAUUUAUUUAUUUUGACAGAGAGAGGGAGAGGGAGAGAGAGCACGCACACAAGUGGGGGAGGGGCAGAGGAGGAGAGGGAGAAAGAGUCCCAAGCAGGCUCCGCUCUAUCUGUGGGGAGCCUGAUGCGGGGCUCGAUCCCAAGAACCAGGAGAUCAUGACCUGAGCCGAAAUCAACAGUGGGAAGCUUAACCAACUGAGCAACCGAGUUGGUCACCCAGGUGCCCCAAGGUGGUUUUGGGUAACAGAAUUGCUUUAUGUUACUUACUGGAUGAACAAAGAGGAAGCUGGAUCAUUGUACCUGGACCAUUACCUCUGGUACUGCAACACAUACAAGAAAUUAACAAGUCACUCGGUUAAAACAGGUUGAUGACCCCCACCCCAUGUACAUUCUGUGAUUUAUUUGAUAUCAGCUGGGUGGUUCAUGGAGGCCCUAGCUAAGGAGGAAACUUCAGUCUCUUGGUACCAGCCUCCCAACAGUCAUCACUGGAGUCUCCCUGGAGCACCAGGUUCUCUCCAAGGUCCUAAAUGCAUGUUCACAGCCAUCCGCAGUAUAUCACAUGGUCUCUCUGAGCGUGGAGAAAUAGAAAAAAGGAAGCAACCAGAUGAACAAGAUGAAAAACAAUUCUUCCACAGAUCUGCCCUCACAACUUAGGAGUGUCACAAGGACACCAGAGCCACUUAACUCUCACGGUGACUGGAGAGUGGCGCCCAUACCAACUUUUUGGUCAGUCUCUCAUGGAUGAGAGGAUGGCCAAAAGAGGGAAAGUGUUUAAUUAAACAAGGACAGUAGACCAAUAAUGCUCUCAGGCCAUGGCAGCCUACAUAAAAAGCAAACCAAAACCUAAGCCUCUAAAUGCCUCAGAGUUACAAAAUCAAAAUGCUAAAAGCAACCAAUCAUGAACAGCUAACUAAACUCUAAGCUAUAGCCAAUCAAUUAACUUUCUCACAUUUUUCUGUUACCUUAAUUUUCUUUCUCAUGUUCCCCAAACUCCUGUUGGUGAAACACUCCUAAUCGCUCUUGGUUCGGCACUGCCUGAUCCAAGUCAAUCCGUGUUCAAAUAAACUCAAGAUGUUUAAUAUGCUUCAGUCUACCUUUUAACAAAAUGGAUAUUUGGUCUUCAUCCCUGUUCCCGGCACAGAGCCCCUAAAGCCCUUAAAAUUUUUUCCUAAAUGAUGAGAGGCCUAAAGGUGUCUUUUGCUGUGUUAAUGAAGUGACUUUUGGACCACACCUAAGGAAGGGGCCAGCUGCCAGGAGAAUGGAGCCUGUGAUUAGAAGGCUGGACCUUUUAGUCCCCCCCUGAGCCUCUGCAGAGGAAAGAGGGGCUGAGGGCUGAAUCGACUGGCAAAGGCCGAUGACUUCAUCAUUCAUGCCCGUGUAAUGAACUCUCCAUGAAAACCCAAAAGGAUGGGGUUCAGAGAGCUUCUGGGCUGCUGCUGAAUCUGGGACCUGGGGAGCCUGGCUUGCUCGGAGAGGGCUCAAGAAGCUCCUCACCCCUUCCCCAUACCAUGUCCUCUUGGCCUCCUCCAUCUGACUGUUCCCGAGUUACAACUUUUUAAGAUAAAGCUAGAAUCUAGUAAGUAAAAUGUUUCUCUGAGCUCUGUGAGCCUCUCUAGCAAACUAACUGAACCCAAGGAGUAGGUCACCGGAACCCCCGGUCUACAGUCAGCUGGUCAGAAGCACAGGUCACAACCUGGGCUUGUGACUGGCAUCUGAAAUGUAGGGGAGACAGUCUUGCAGGACUGAGCACUUAGCCUGUGGGAUCGUACUCCCUCUCCAGGUAGGUAGUAUAAGGACUGAGCUAAAUACCCAGCUUGGUACCCAGCCGGUGCCUGAGAACUGCUUGUUACUGAGAGAGGGAAGGGGAACCCACAAUGGAACUGGGUGCAGAAUCUGGAGGUACGAGCGAUGAAAGAGAAGGAAGGGUCUCAAAUCUAUCUGAGCUUUGUGUUUUGUGACACUAGAUGGAUGGGGCCUUCAAACUCACUGACUAAAGGUGUGAUCGGUGUUACCACACUGCAGCACUCAAAGGUGCACCCUCCACCUUGAAGUCAAUGCCGGUGGUGUCCCCUGGACUUGUGCACAAGCAGCUACCCCGUGAGACAUGUGACCCACAGACAAGAUGUGGUUGCCUGACCUGGGCCCAAUUUCCCCGUCUAUCGUUUUCCUCCUAGUGCACCUGAUGGCCGUCAUCAAUGAAACCUGUGCCCAAAGCCCAAUGGAAUCAAGUGUUUCAUGUUUCCCUGUUCAAGUUAAACCCCGCCCACUGAAAUCACAUGACGAGCCUGGCCUUUCAGAGGGAUCUGGACAAAAGGAAAGCAGGAAGAGGAAAGCCUCUGUGCGCCCAUGACUCACGCCGGAGGCAUGCUGGAGGGCUGUCUGCUCUCUCCCCACUCAUCGCUGUCGUCAACGUAAUGCUCACGUAGCCCAGCGCAUAUGGUUUUCUGGACAUGUGGCCUGUGGCUGGGAGGAGCCGUGGAGGCCGCUGCUCCCGGGCCAACAAGUCACACUCCACAGAAUUAACCGGAAGCCCAAGACGGCCUCACCCCUUGCAGCUUGAGAAGGCUGGAGCAAGGAAACAAAGAUCUCUUCAGGCCUCCCCCAGAGACUCCAAGGCAGCCCAGAUGACGCCAGGGCCCCUAAAGAAUGAGGGGGCCACACCUCUGCCAGGGGUUCCAGUCGAGUAAAGCCAGAGAGGCACCCACUCUACCCAGUAACUGGCAGCAGGGGGAGGUGUUCACACCUCAGAACAUCACAGCAAAACAGACGGCACUGGGUGGCAUCCAGGGAACCUCACCUGCCCUUCUGCCCUUCUGCCUCCCCCCUGCUCACCUCUGCGGACAAGUACACCGGGGCUCUGCCCCAC